rnacentral:lncRNA from 1 species
CCGAGGGCAAAUAAAUUCAUUCAGGGACUGCUAUCACCUGACGUGUGAAAGUUUCACGAUUUUUUCGUGUUUUUGUUGACUGCCAAUUUUGGUCGUGCCUCGACGCCUUGCUUUGAUUACUCAACCUUCGCGCGUGCCUGAUACCCUCGUGGGUGGUUAGUGUUUGUCGGCAGGUUGCAAAUUUCAAGCAUGGCUCAGAAAUUCCUUUACGCGAUUUUAGCCAUCUGCGCACUCACUGAGGUCCGAGCAGAAACAUUGUACUCCGUCUCGGGCUACGCUUUUCCGCAAGGCGUGUCCACAACCAACCCGAUUGGAAUGGUGAGCGCCUUGCAACAGACUCUCAACAGUCACUACAACAUGCUGCCCGCCUCUGCGCACACCGCCGCCUACGAGCGCGCCAAACAGGUAUUCGAUAUUGCGGCCAGCCGCGCGGCUCAGAUCAACACAGCCCUCCCGCCAAUGCCCCAGCUCAACACAGCCAACCUCCCCACGAUGCCCCAGAUCAACACGGCCAACUUCCCCUCGGUGUCCCAGUUCAGCACAGACAAACUCCCGUCGAUGCCCCAGCUCAACACGGCCAACUUCCCCUCCAUGUCCCAAUUCAGCACGGCCAACAUCCCAUCGGUGUCUCAGCUCAGCACGGCCAAAGUCCCACGCUGUCGCAGCUCAACACAGCCGAUGUCCCCGCAAUGUCUCAGCUCAACACAGUCAAUGUCCCCACGAUGUCUCAACUCAACACGGCCGUCCCGUCGUACCCCGCGGAGACUAAGCUCAACACAGUCAGUGUCCCCACGAUGUCUCAACUCAACACGGCUCUCCCGUCGUACCCCGCGGACACUAAGCUCAACACAGCUCUCCCGUCGUACCCCGCGGACACUAAGCUCAACACAGCCCUUCCGUCGAUCCCUUCGGCAACUCAGCUCAACAUGGGCCUCCCGUCAUUCUCUGCGAAUCAAUUCUACACGGGCAACAUGCCGUCCGUCCCCGAGGUCGUCCGCCCGUCGAAUUACGACGUCGCUCAGUUGACGAACGGCCUUCCACUGGCGCUCAAGCAGCUGCUCAACAUCGUGCAGUACGUAAGGAGCGUCUGUCCCCUCUGCCAGUCCAUCGACAGGGCCGUCGCUGCCGGCGGGAUCCCCAGGGGCUCCUACGCCGUGGACGGCGCCGGUCGCAUCUACCGCGAGCAGGGCCAGAGGAUCGUUCCCUCCAACUACGCCAUCGAUGGAUCCAGGCUCGUCGAUGUCUCCACCGGAGUGACCAUCAUCUCCGUUUAUUGACGUCAUCACUGAGCUGCGGACCGAUUAUUGAAAUUGGUAGACAAAGCUAUAGGCAAAGAAGACAAAAGAGAUAAAGAGGGAUCCUAUUCAGUCGUGCUAAGGAAGAACGCCGUAUGAACCUUUAGGCGUUGCCAAAUUACCUCUGGUAAAUUAAGAAUUUCCGGGAAAGUUUGUGCAUAUUUUUCUUCCAAUUUUGCAGAUAAUUUCGUUCUCAAUUAUAUCUAAAAUAUCUGAAAAUAUCAAUGAAAAAGAUGCACCCGUUUCCUAAGAAACUGGUGCAUAUUUUUCAUUGAUAUUUUACAAGAAUCACGGGAUUUGUGAUAUUUUUCCUAAGAAAUACAUGUUUUAUCAAGGGAAAUUAGGCAACUCUCGAAUGUUGAUACGGCGUUCUUCCUUAGCACGGCAGUAUUGGUGGAAGCGGGUGGUUGCAAUGGACGAAGGCAGUAGGUAAUAGACUAACUAACGGCAACCCACGAAAAACCAGAUAGUUAGUCCAUCAUUUCCUCCCUUAGUCUAUAGGGACCACACAUUUCAACCAAUAGGAUAUCUCCAAACUCCCUACGUCCUUUUUAUCUAUAGCUUUGUCUAUCAAUUUCAAUAAUCAGCCCGCUGCGGACCGAUUGUUGAAUCGUAUUCGAAUGAUCUUGAUCGAUGGAUUCCUAUCUUAGAAGGGAUUUUAUCGAUCAAGAUUAAUUGAUAACGUUUCAUUAAGCCCGCAGGUUGAUUGUUGAACUUGAUAGACAAAACGAUAGACGAGGAAGAGGAAGAGAAUUUGAAGCGACGCUAUUGGUGGAAAAUGGGUGGUUUCAAUGGACAAAGGAGGUAAGUAAUAGCCUAACUAACGGGAAUUCACGAGUAUAGUUGGACUGCAUUUACCAAAAAGGAACGAAGAGCAACCCAAUGUUGCUAAGAUUCUGCUACUUAUAUGUUUUGCAAUUAAAUCACUGAAAUCACGCAAAGAAUUUUUACUAAGUCAAUUUCCGUCUUGAAAUUACAGUUUAUUGGGAGUAAAGAUGAAAGUUGUUCAGAUGAUCAGUUUAUAUUUACAAGGUAAAAAAAGUUGAAUAAUCUUAGCGACACUGGAAUCCCGUUGGUUCUUUUUUGCACAAUGCAAUCCAGUUAGCCCAUCAUUUUCUCACUAACGUUUCAACCAAUAGGAUCGCUUAACUCUUCGCCUAAUUUCACGGGAAAAAAGAGGUAGGAGCUAAGUCUCAACUUGAACAUUUCGAAUAGAUUGUGGUAGUAUCCCAAUUAAUUGUGGUAGUACCCCAGUAAAUUAGAUUACUGACACAAAUGUUGUGGUGCUACCCCAACUUGAGUUGCGGUACUACCUAAAUUAAUUGGAAAUGGCCGUAUCGUGCGACAAAUUGGUGUAGCACUCUAAUUUUAGGGGAUGACACCUAAUAUAUGAUUUUCUGUGUUGUAUUUUUUGUCUAUAGCUUUGUAUAUAUAUUUCAAUAAUCAACCCGCAGGCUCUGAUUUGAGGACAAAACGUUUCGCAAUCCUCGAAACUAAAUCAACGGUAUGGCCGCAGAAAAGCAUAUCUCAAUUGCGGUGUUUCAAAAUUCUCCUAAUUCAAGAGAUCCGUUUCAUACAAGAGACACAGAGUCCACUGAGGAUUAGUUUCACAGGUAAAAGCGCACACAAAUCACGUUGAACAUAUCAAAAAUGAUCGUACAAUCCACCCUUUGACGCAAAAACUGUGUAAUCCGCAUUGUGUUUUUUCAAAUUUAUCAUUUGGGGACAGUUUUUUUUAAUGGCCGGCAAUUAGGUUUGUACAGAGGUAGGCGUAAAAUACCUGAACUAGAAUAAAGAAACAAUCCCGCCAACUGUCACAUCUUUUUUACGUACGAUAUCGAUUGGCUCAAAACAUUUGUUUCAACAACACAAAAAAAAAUCAAAUGAAAAAACAAACGCAUGAGAACGAUUUAAAGCGUUCGAGAAAAACAUUUACGAAUUCAGAUUUGUUCUCGUACAUUCAUGGGUGAACCUACAUUCCGAAGACUGAAAAAAAAACUGUCCGCGAAAUUUAGAGGAGGAUCCAGCAAUUUGGCAACAUCGAAUUUCCUCCAUUUAAACCUAUGCUAAACAAUCGAUUCUUGUCGGAGCAUCUGCCCCUCCUAGAAUCGAUACGUUUCCUUAGGUUUAAAUGGAAAAAAGAUAAUGUUGUCAAUUUUCUGAAUCCAUCAAUGCUGCGGAUGCGAGUUUUUUUAGAAAACGCCGGAAAAACAACGCAAUAGGUUCGUCGAGGAGUGAAUUUGAACAUUGCUAAUGUCUUCGAAGUGAUUUUCGUGUUGUUUCGCCCACGAAAAGUGCACAUUAUCAACUAUUUCUCUUAAAUGCAACAGACUCAUUUUUCUAAAAAGCAUUUCUCGAAAUUUUGCGCAUCGAAUUUUCUGAGAAAUGUCUUUAGCAGGAUAUGAAAAAAUCACAAGAAAUACGGUUUAGUAACACGGAUUAGUCAUCUUCCGAAAGAUUAAAAUGAGACGGAAAAUUUGCAAUGUCGCAAAUCUAAAUGCGUGGCUUCGUAGUUUUAACAUCAAAAUUUAACGAAGUUAAGGAGAAAGCAACUGACUGUGCAAAUAAAAAAAAAGUAAAACCAUUGUACUACUGCCUAGAGUGGUUUAUCUUUCAUUAUUUGGCACAUGAAGGAUCCCCAAAAAUUAUAAGAAAUUUGAUCCACCUACCUCAGGACAGGAGAGGGGGUCUUAAUGACAGACAUAUGGAAAAUAAUAAAAAUUAAACAAGUUUUUAAAAGAAGAAUUUGAUGAAGAAAUUGUUUAAAAUAAUAAAUGUGAGAUAUUAGCACCACUACAUAAAAGUGUAUUUUACAAACAUUUUGACACAAAACAUUGCACAAUUUUACAAUAGAAAGGAGGUUUGAUUGUCUCAGGUUUGCAUUUCAAAAUACUUAAUGUUGAAAAAAAUUUCCGACAAUGAAUGAACAUCACCCCUUAAAACAUUUUUGAAACUAUCGAAAUUUAUCGAGGUCAGCUGGAUCGCCUGGAAUCGAUUUAUUAUGACGAAGUUAAAUAGAGGAAAAACAGAGCUCCUAACCUCCAAAUAUUGACACUGAGCUCGGAAGUAUAGAAAUAAUCGGAAAUUUUGUUUAAAAUAUCAAUGAUCAUUAGCAGUAAAAAAAUUCAACGGCCCUCGUUACAAGUCAUAGUGAGAUAUUUCGAUGUCUGUAUUUUAAAUGUAGGUAUUUUACACAUUUUGGCGUAAUCCGGUGAAAUAAAAAUUUAUCACACUCACGAACCAUUAAUAAAAUUGGCACCGGUAAAAACCUUCAAUUCUGGUUCUCCAAAUAACCAGAUGCCAUGUAAAUCAAGGCCUGGUGAUCGUGUUUUAGAAACAAUAUCACGGAAGGAAGAGAACUUAAUUUUGAAUAUUUUGUCACUGUCGUUUUUGUUAACACUCACUUAGACACUCAAUUUCAUCAACAAUGAUACUUCAGAAUAAAGUCGUUCCUAACGCACAUAAUGGUCAAAAGAAUGUGUCAGAAAUGUCAGGUACAAGCAAAGGCGCACUUAAGGAAAGAAGGUCCUGAUUUAAACCUGCAGUAUCUUGAAAGUAAAAUCGAAUGACCUUUAAAAUAAUUUGAAAAUAUUUUGCGAAAUGUUAAGAAAUAGCUGUCGCGCUAAAUUUGACGGGAAUUUUUUUAAUUUCAAAAUUUUUAAAACUUUUUAAAACAUAAGUGAUAAUAAUAAAAUCGUUAUAAAUUUUGUGAGUAAUUUUUUUUAAUAUAUCAUUACUAAAUUUUUUAAAUAUUGUCAAAAACAGUAUGAAAGGUUUGUAAGAAUAUUUGGACUAUGAUAUUAUCAUGAAUACAGGUGAAAACAAUUUUUUGAACAUUUUAUGAAUAUCAAAAACAUGCUGACAAUCUUGGCAAUAUUUUCGGGGAGCUAUGGAGAGUUCAUGGUCAGAAUCUGAGUUACGAUAUGUGUAGAGGAAGUGUCACUGUUGCACACUGUCAACGUUUAUGCACCGAUCAAUAGCAUUUUGUAGCUUCCUUGGAAAAAAAGGUAUUUUUAGACUUCCUUUCAUCCAAAGCAAACGAAAGUGGCGAGGAGGGAUUUGCGCAGCUAUACUCAGUUCACAAGACCGUUGUAAUUACUUUAUAAUACUUGAUCCCUCAACCAGACAGUAGACCACAGAGGAAAAA